AAAUGUUAACAGCUCUUGUAGAAUUUGUCUAGCAGGUUUUCCGGUUUUCACCGAAAGUCCCCC
ensembl:snRNA U7 U7 small nuclear RNA